rnacentral:rRNA from 1 species
UACGUAGGGUGCAAGCGUUGUCCGGAAUUAUUGGGCGUAAAGAGCUCGUAGGCGGUCUGUCGCGUCGGCUGUGAAAACCCGAGGCUCAACCUCGGGCCUGCAGUCGAUACGGGCAAACUAGAGUACUGCAGGGGAGACUGGAAUUCCUGGUGUAGCGGUGGAAUGCGCAGAUAUCAGGAGGAACACCGGUGGCGAAGGCGGGUCUCUGGGCCGAUACUGACGCUGAGGAGCGAAAGCGUGGGGAGCGAACAGG